rnacentral:rRNA from 1 species
UGGCGGCCUUAGCGCGGUGGUCCCACCUGACCCCAUGCCGAACUCAGAAGUGAAACGCCGUAGCGCCGAUGGGGAACUGCCAGACAUCAAAUCAAGCGAGGGAACUGCCAGGCA